UGCGUAGGCGGAUAAAUAAGUCAGUGGUGAAAUCUUCCGGCUCAACCGGGAACCUGCCAUUGAUACUGUUAGUCUUGAGUUCGGUUGAGGUAGGCGGAAUGUGUAAUGUAGCGGUGAAAUGCUUAGAUAUUACACAGAACACCAAUUGCGUAGGCAGCUUACUAGACCGACACUGACGCUGAGGCACGAAAGCGUGGGGAGCGAACAGGAUUAGAUACCCUGGUAGUCC
rnacentral:rRNA from 1 species